rnacentral:rRNA from 1 species
UGGAAUCGCUGUAAUCGCGGAUCAGAAUGCCGCGGUGAAUACGUUCCCGGGUCUUGUACACACCGCCCGUCACACCAUGGGAGUCGGAAAUGCCCGAAGUCAGUGACCCAACCACAACGUGAACUUUGUUCACGUGGAGGGAGCUGCCGAAGGUGGAGCCGGUAACUGGGGUGAAGUCGUAACAAGGUAUC